AUGUCCAAAGAUGUCUUAAACAGGAAGACCCAGGUGCUGCUGGGUGAAAAAUGGUGCUCAGCGAAGAUCCUGCUGGACUUGUCGGAAGAGUAUAAGGAGUACCUGGCCUUCCUGCCGAAAUGGUGGUGGAGUUUGGGUGGAUUGGGGUGGAGUUCCUGAGGUGAGGGACCAUCCCCAAGGUCUAUGAGGGCACCGCCAGGAAGCUCAACGUGAGCAGCAACAUUGUCCAGCAUGGUGUGGAAGGGUUGACCUACCUGCUCACCGAGAGCUCCAAGCUCAUGAUUGCUGAAGUGGAUUUCCAAGACUCUGUUUUUGUUCUGGGAUUCUCUGAAGAACUGAACAAAUUAUUGCUUCAGCUUUACCUGGACAACAGAAAAGAGAUCAGGACUAUUCUGGGUGAAUUGGCACCCAGCCUUCCCAGUUAUCACAGCCUUGAGUGGCGACUAGAUGUACAGCUUGCAAGCAGAAGUCAGGCAACAGAUUAAGCCAGCCGUGACUAUAAAACUACACCUAAAUCAGAAUGGAGACCACAACACCAAAGUUCUGCAGACAGACUCAGCCACCCUACUUCAUUUAGUGCAGCAACUGUAACAAUCCUUGGAGGAGAUGAAAACAAACCACUGUAGGAGAGUAGUUCACAACAUCAAGUAG